GUGAGGAAUAUUGGUCAAUGGGCGGAAGCCUGAACCAGCCAAGUAGCGUGCAGGAUGACGGCCCUAUGGGUUGUAAACUGCUUUUAUACAGGAAUAAAGUUAGCCACGUGUGGUUAUUUGUAGGUACUGUAUGAAUAAGGACCGGCUAAUUCCGUGCCAGCAGCCGCGGUAAUACGGAAGGUCCAGGCGUUAUCCGGAUUUAUUGGGUUUAAAGGGAGCGUAGGCCGUCUGUUAAGCGUGUUGUGAAAUGUAGAUGCUCAACAUCUGAAUUGCAGCGCGAACUGGCAGACUUGAGUGUGCGCAACGUAGGCGGAAUUCGUGGUGUAGCGGUGAAAUGCUUAGAUAUCACGAAGAACUCCGAUUGCGAAGGCAGCUUACGGGAGCACAACUGACGCUGAAGCUCGAAAGUGCGGGUAUCGAACAGGAUUAGAUACCCUUGUAGUCC
rnacentral:rRNA from 1 species